CCUACGGGGCGCAGCAGUGGGGAAUAUUGGACAAUGGGCGAAAGCCUGAUCCAGCCAUGCCGCGUGUGUGAAGAAGGCCUUCGGGUUGUAAAGCACUUUCAGUGGGGAAGAAAGCCUUGGGGCUAAUACCCUCGAGGAAGGACAUCACCCACAGAAGAAGCACCGGCUAACUCCGUGCCAGCAGCCGCGGUAAUACGGAGGGGUGCGAGCGUUAAUCGGAAUUACUGGGCGUAAAGCGCGCGUAGGCGGUCUGAUAAGCCGGUUGUGAAAGCCCCGGGCUCAACCUGGGAACGGCAUCCGGAACUGUCAGGCUAGAGUGCAGGAGAGGAAGGUAGAAUUCCCGGUGUAGCGGUGAAAUGCGUAGAGAUCGGGAGGAAUACCAGUGGCGAAGGCGGCCUUCUGGACUGACACUGACGCUGAGGUGCGAAAGCGUGGGUAGCAAACAGGAUUAGAUACCCUUGUAGUC
rnacentral:rRNA from 1 species